UACGAAGGGGGGCUAGCGUUGUUCGGAUUUACUGGGCGUAAAGCGCACGUAGGCGGAUCGUUAAGUCAGGGGUGAAAUCCCGGAGCUCAACUUCGGAACUGCCUUUGAUACAGCACGUCUUGAGUCCGAUAGAGGUGGGUGGAAUUCCUAGUGUAGAGGUGAAAUUCGUAGAUAUUAGGAAGAACACCAGUGGCGAAGGCGGCUCACUGGCCCGAUACUGACGCUGAGGCACGAAAGCGUGGGGAGCGAACAGG
rnacentral:rRNA from 1 species